rnacentral:rRNA from 1 species
AGUUUGAUCAUGGCUCAGAACGAACGCUGGCGGCAUGCCUAACACAUGCAAGUCGAACGAAGCCUUCGGGCUUAGUGGCGCACGGGGUGCGUAACGCGUGGGAACCUACCAUCAGGUUCGGAAUAACAGUUAGAAAUGACUGCUAAUACCGGAUAAUGUCUUCGGACCAAAGAUUUAUCGCCUUUUGAUGGGCCCGCGUUGGAUUAGCUAGUUGGUGGGGUAAAGGCCUACCAAGGCGACGAUCCAUAGCUGGUCUGAGAGGAUGAUCAGCCACACUGGGACUGAGACACGGCCCAGACUCCUACGGGAGGCAGCAGUGAGGAAUAUUGGACAAUGGGCGAAAGCCUGAUCCAGCAAUGCCGCGUGUGUGAUGAAGGCCUUAGGGUUGUAAAGCUCUUUUACCAGGGAUGAUAAUGACAGUACCUGGAGAAUAAGCUCCGGCUAACUCCGUG